rnacentral:rRNA from 1 species
GCUUGUCUCAAAGAUUAAGCCAUGCAUGUCUUAGUGUAAAUAACUCUUAUGAAACUGCGAAUGGCUCAUUAAAUCAGUUAUCAAAUACGUGAUGGUCGCCUACUACAUGGAUAACCGUAGUAAUUCUAGAGCUAAUACAUGCACAAAGGCCCAACUUCGGGAGGGGUGUAUUUAUUAGAUAAAAAACCAACGCCCUUCGGGGCUUCUUGGUGAUUCAUGAUAACUUCACGGAUCGCAUGGCCUUGCGCCGGCGACGGUUCAUUCAAAUUUCUGCCCUAUCAACUUUCGAUGGUAAGGUAUUGGCUUACCAUGGUUUCAACGGGUAACGGGGAAUUAGGGUUCGAUUCCGGAGAGGGAGCCUGAGAAACGGCUACCACAUCCAAGGAAGGCAGCAGG